AUUGAACGCUGGCGGCAUGCUUUACACAUGCAAGUCGAACGGUAACAGGCCGCAAGGUGCUGACGAGUGGCGAACGGGUGAGUAAUGCAUCGGAACGUGCCCAGUCGUGGGGGAUAACUACUCGAAAGAGUAGCUAAUACCGCAUACGAUCUAUGGAUGAAAGCGGGGGACCGUAAGGCCUCGCGCGAUUGGAGCGGCCAAUGUCAGAUUAGGUAGUUGGUGGGGUAAAGGCUCACCAAGCCAACGAUCUGUAGCUGGUCUGAGAGGACGACCAGCCACACUGGGACUGAGACACGGCCCAGACUCCUACGGGAGGCAGCAGUGGGGAAUUUUGGACAAUGGGCGCAAGCCUGAUCCAGCAAUGCCGCGUGCAGGAAGAAGGCCUUCGGGUUGUAAACUGCUUUUGUACGGAACGAAACGGCUCUGGUUAAUACCCGGGGCUAAUGACGGUACCGUAAGAAUAAGCACCGGCUAACUACGUG
rnacentral:rRNA from 1 species